UGUAUGUCACGAGCAGAGGGCAAGGGAAAAGGGAAAAACCCUUCUCCUUCAAUUGAACUCAAGAUUCAGCAAAUUGGUGAUGGUUUUAAACACAAAUCGAAUGCAUGAGCUUAGUUACUCCAUAACCUAAGUGGUUUGAACAUAAGUAUAGGGAUCAUAUCAAGAUGGAUGGAAGCAUGAAGGGCUAACGGGUCAAGAGGACAUGGGGAAGCGAACGCAAAUACGGAUGCGUAAGGUUGUACGGGAGACGGAGGAUCAUCAAGGUAUAAAGAUCGAGGACCGAGUCACUUGAGGGAUUGUACGGGGUUGUCUAAGGAUGUAAUUUGUUGUACAUAAGCUAUGAUUUAUUCUAUAAUUGAGUCAGUUGUUGUAUUCUAUAUAAAAAGAGUUAUUUUAAAAA